rnacentral:tRNA from 1 species
GGGGGUAUCGCUCAGAUGGCAGAGCAGCGGGCUCUUAACCCGAAGGUCUCAGGUUCGAUGCCUGAUGCCCCUACCA